CUUUGUCAGUUCAGCAUCCUCUUAAUCAAGCGAGUUAAACGUACAGAAUAUACGUAGACUCGCAAGAAGUUUCACUCAAUCAAAUAGUAGAAGUAUAAUCACAGAUUAAUAUAAGUAUCAUAGAUACAAAGUAUCACAGAUUUGAUGUAAAUGAUAUACAAAAUAAAUGUAACAAUAUAAGCCACAACUCUUCACUACACAAUACACGAUAUACGCAUUAAUAACGAAAACCAACGAAUGCAGCGCACAGCGUGGCAGAAACACAUGCGCGAUUUUUGUUUCGCGUAAGUCGCGCCCGCGUAGCGCUUGUCAUCUUUUAGUUAGAAAGACAAAAACGAGCGACGCUUAACGAAAGUGAGACAGGCCACGCCAUGAAAGACGAUAUGUCCAAGAAGAAUAAUCUAUGCAGCAAAUGUUGCAAAACAUAAUGCUAGUGCAACAGCAGUUGCAACAACAAAUGUUGCAACUGCAGCAGCAUCAAUUGCAGCAGCAGCAGUAUCAACAGCAGCAGCAGGAGAUGCAGAACAAUUCGACUAAAAACACAGAAGAGAAGCUGGCCGCAACAGAGCCCACGGCGUUAAAAAUAUUAACAAUAAUAUUUUUGCCUACUUUCUAAGACUUUGUUAAAACAUAUAUAAUUAAAUAUUGUCUCUUUAAAAUCUGUAAUUUCUGUCAAAAAGAUUUCAACUCUAAACAAAAAUAUUACAAAAUUCUGGGAAAGAAAGUUUUUUUUAUUCAU